rnacentral:rRNA from 1 species
UACAGAGGGUGCGAGCGUUAAUCGGAAUUACUGGGCGUAAAGCGUGCGUAGACGGUUGCGUAAGUCGGAUGUGAAAUCCCCGGGCUCAACCUGGGAAUUGCAUUCGAGACUGCGUAGCUGGGGUGCGGAAGAGGGAAGCGGAAUUUCUGGUGUAGCGGUGAAAUGCGUAGAUAUCAGAAGGAACAUCAGUGGCGAAAGCGGCUUCCUGGUCCAGUACCGACGUUCAGGCACGAAAGCGUGGGGAGCGAAUGGG